rnacentral:rRNA from 1 species
CCCUUAGAUGUUCUGGGCCGCACGCGCGCUACACUGACUGGUGCAACAAGUGUCGCUCCUUGGCCGAUAGGCCUGGGCAAUCUUUGAACGCCAGUCGUGAUGGGGAUAGAUUCUUGCAAUUUUUGAUCUUCAACGAGGAAUUCCUAGUAAACGCGAGUCAUCAACUCGCAUUGAUUACGUCCCUGCCCUUUGUACACACCGCCCGUCGCACCUACCGAUUGAGUGAUCCGGUGAAUAAUUCGGACUGCGGCAUUGACCGGUUCCCGAUCGUUGCUGCGGAAAGUUUAGUGAACCUUAUCACUUAGAGGAAGGAGAAGUCGUAACA